rnacentral:misc_RNA from 1 species
GAUGAAGAACGUAGCGAAAUGCGUUAAGUAAUGUGAAUUGCAGAAUUCAGUGAAUCAUCGAAUCUUUGAACGCACAUUGCGCCCGCCAGUAUUCUGGCGGGCAUGCCUGUUCGAGCGUCAUUACAACCCUCAGGCCCCCGGGCCUGGCGUUGGGGAUCGGCGGAAGCCCCCUGCGGGCACAACGCCGUCCCCCAAAUACAGUGGCGGUCCCGCCGCAGCUUCCAUUGCGUAGUAGCUAACACCUCGCAACUGGAGAGCGGCGCGGCCACGCCGUAAAACACCCAACUUCUGAAUGUUGACCUCGAAUCAGGUAGGAAUACCCGCUGAACAUAAGCAUAUCAAUAAGCGGAGGA